AACUGCCACCUGGGAGACUGCUGGUAAAGAUGGGAGGUGGCCUUUGCCGCUUUCCAUCUUCUCACUGCAGUUUCUUCACGUGGGCCACUUGUACUUAAAAUGUCUUCUUAAUUUAUUCUUUUUACUUCCCCAGCUCCAAUUUGUCUACAGAUUUACAAAUUUGUUUUAUAGUUUUAUGACUCAAUUUGUAUUUUCGGUCCUAUGAAGCUUUUUGCCUUAAAUAUUUUUCUCUGUUUAUAAGAAUGUGCUGUUUCCUAGGCCAGUUUUGUACACACUCUUCCAUAGAAUAGAUCCAGAAGAAACACAACAAUACUGCCUUCAUCAUAUCAGGAGAUCUUGAUACCAAAUACGAGUGUUGCCUCCAAGAUGCAAGAUCCUGAGGGCUCCAAAGAAUCCACUGUCCGUCACAAAUCGACGGUCCGCCAGCUCAGUUUCAGAGACGUGGUGCUCCGCUGCAGGCCUCAUCCUCAGGUGCACCCUGGCAGUCAGCCAUCUGAAGGUACUAUGGAAAUUCAGUUACUCACUCUUGGGAGCAGAAGGAUUCCAGACCAUUCCUGUGUGCACCCUGGCAGGGAGCCAUCUGAAGGUACUGUAGAAAUUCAGUUACUCACCCUUGCAAGCAUAAGGAUUCCAGAUUCUUCAGGGUCCCAAACUUCAGAUAACUCUAAAAUUGCUACACUAUAUUCUUCUUUAUUUCAUGUGUGCCAAUUUAAAUGUACAAGUCAAUCACUAGUGCUACAAAUGCAGAAGUAAAGAUGUAUUUCCACUUCAAGUUUGGUUCACUUUUAAGAGUAAAGAACACGUCAAUGCAAGGUUUAGAUAUUAAUGCAAGGUUUAGAUAUAAUGUCUAGCUGAUUGUUAGACAUUAGCUAAAAUGGAACUCUUCCUGAGAUAGCGUUGCCACAUUUUCAAACAAAUGGACAUCAUGUGAAACUUGUAAAUUAACUUAAAAAUUGCAGUAGUACAGAAAGUUCCCAUAUACCCUCCCCCCUCAGUAUCUUUUUUGUGACCACAUCUUACAUGAAUGUGGUGCAUUUGUUAUAGUGGUUGAAGCAAUAGCGAUAUCUUCUUCUUAAUGAAAGUCUAGAGUUUGCACUAAGGCUCACCCUGUGUUGUUCAGCCUAUGGAUUUUGACAAACUCGUAAUGUCAUCCAUCACCCAGACAGAAGAGUUUCACACCCAAAACAUGACCAAUGCUGAACCUAUUAAUCCCUUUCUUCUUUUCCUAGGACCCCUGACUACUAUAGAUCAUUUAUUUUAUUGCCUCUAUGGAUUUUCUUUCCCAAAAUUCUAUAGAAUUGGAAUCAUAAAGUAUGCAGCCACUUAGGACUAACUGAUUUCGCUUAGCAACAUACAUGCAAGAUUUCAUAUCUUUUUGUAGCUUAAUGGCUUACAAAUUUUUAUCAGUGAAUCGUAUUCCAUUGGGUCCAUGUAAUGGUGUGGGUUGGUGCACUCACCGCCUGAAGAGCAUCUCAGCUGCUUCCAGUUCAGGCAAUUACGAAUACAGCUGCCCUCAUUCUUGUGCAGAUUUUGCAAUGGGUGUAAUUUUAAAAUUUAACUGGGUAAAUGUUUAGAAUUUUAAUCAGUUUUUUGUAUAAUAACACUAUGUUUUCCUUUGUAAGAAUUAGGUAGAAUUCAGUAAAAUCUACUGGGCAUUUUUUAAAAAGUUAUUGUUGAUUUAAUUUCUAUAAUACAUACAAGCCUACUCAGAUUAUCUGAGUCUCCUUUGGGUAGUUAUGGUUUCUGCCUUUGAAGGAAUUUUGCUGUCAGAUUUGUGAGCAUAGAUUUAUUCUAAGUAUUCCUUUAUUAUCUUCUUCAUAUUCAUGGGAUCAGCAGGAAUGAUUCCUCUUUUUAUUUACAUUAUUUAUAAAUUGUGUCUUCUAUCUUUUCUCUGUGGUUAGCCUGGCUGGAGGUUUAUCAAUUCUGUUUAUCUUUUCUAAGAAGCAGCUUUUGGUUUUGUUUUGUUCUCUGUUUAUUUUAUUAUUUCUAUUAUAAUGAAUAUAUUUUUUUUCUAUGUUAAUGUUGGGUUUACAUUACACAAUACUUUUUUCUCUAGUUUCCCAAGGUGGAAGGUAAGAAAACUGAAUUAAGAUUGUUUUUAGUUUUCUAGAUAGCAUUGUGAAUGGAACUGAUGUCACAGAAGUGUGCAUUUAAUAAUCAAAAUAAUACAUAUUGUGUAUUUUUCACCAAAAUAAUGAUUUAAAAUCCAGUAAUAUAGAUGGUAAGUGCAGAAGGAGCAUAUGUAGAUUCAGGAACGUUAAACAUUGUAACUUUUUUUAAAAAGAGGAUAUUUACCAGGCCUCUUUCUGUGAGGAGACCCUGUCCUGGAGUGAUGCCGUGCAUUUGUGUGCUGCCUGGGUGAACACUGCCUACUUCACAGUGAUGAGGGUGGCUUAGACAGAGACCCGAGGCUCUGUCCUCCAGGGCUCUCCUGAUGGUCUCCUUUACCUUCCUUCACCACCAAGGAGGGUGGCCCAGCAGCAGCUCAGCCUGUGCUCUCACCCACCUCCUCUGCACACACCAGUCCUCGUCCUCAGCACCCAAGGCUGCCAGAGGUCCUUCAGCAGCUCCCGUGGCUGACAGUGACUCUACGUUUCCUAGAUUUCAGGGACCACCUGGAGGGGAGCGGACCAGAGAGACUUCCUCGGAAUAGGCUGUGGCUCUUCACAAGGUGUCUUCUAUGCUUUAUUUGGGAGCCAUUGCCUUGAGCGUUAUUUCCCAGAUGGUUUUCUAAUGUCACCAACUGAAGAAAAGACCCAUGCACACAGGACACAGCAUGAUCUGAUGCUCACAGCGUUUUCCUUCCUCUCUGAAAACGGACUCAGCGAUUCUGGCAAGCGGUACUUACUCUGAGAUCACCCGUUUGCUAAGGAAAAAUCUUAGUACUGAGAAAGGUGACACUUUCCUCCCUGCUUUUGCUGGAGAGACACUUUGGUUAUGAGUUAUUUCUAGCAUAACACAGUUUAUUUCAGAAGUCCAGCUCAAUAGCAGACCAAGGCAUGAACAACACAUGAAAAUUUAUGUUGGGAAAAUAUAUAUUGUAUGUCUGCUUGAA
rnacentral:lncRNA from 1 species